rnacentral:rRNA from 1 species
UCUGUGACUCCUACGGGAGGCAGCAGUGGGGAAUAUUGCACAAUGGGCGCAAGCCUUGAUGCAGCCAUGCCGCGUGUGUGAAGAAGGCCUUCGGGUUGUAAAGCACUUUCAGUUGUGAGGAAGGUGGUGUCGUUAAUAGCGGCAUCAUUUCGACGUUAGCAACAGAAGAAGCACCGGCUAACUCCGUGCCAGCAGCCGCGGUAAUACGGAGGGUGCGAGCGUUAAUCGGAAUUACUGGGCGUAAAGCGCAUGCAGGUGGUUUGUUAAGUCAGAUGUGAAAGCCCGGGGCUCAACCUCGGAACUGCAUUUGAAACUGGCAGACUAGAGUACUGUAGAGGGGGUAGAAUUUCAGGUGUAGCGGUGAAAUGCGUAGAGAUCUGAAGGAAUACCGGUGGCGAAGGCGGCCCCCUGGACAGAUACUGACACUCAGAUUGCGAAAGCGUGGGGAGCAAACAGGAUUAGAUACCCUGGGAG